rnacentral:tRNA from 1 species
GGGCAGGUGGCCGAGUGGUUAAGGCGGCAGCUUCAGGUUUCCUUUUCCGCUGUUCCAGCAAUGGGCGCGCGUUCGAAUCGCGUCCUGCUCA